UACGGAGGAGGCAAGCGUUAUCCGGAAUUAUUGGGCGUAAAGCGUCCGUAGGCGGUUUAGUAAGUCUGCUGUUAAAGCGCGGGGCUUAACUCCGUAUCGGCAGUGGAAACUACUAGACUAGAGUGUGGUAGGGGUAGAGGGAAUUCCCAGUGUAGCGGUGAAAUGUGUAGAUAUUGGGAAGAACACCGGUGGCGAAGGCGCUCUACUGGGCCAUAACUGACACUGAUGGACGAAAGCUAGGGGAGCGAAAGGG
rnacentral:rRNA from 1 species